GGUCACGUGGGGGGCGGGCAGCGCGGGCGCGCCGCUCACCCCCUCGGGCGCCAUCUUGUGCUGGGGUAGGGGAUGGGGGUGCGGGCUGCCAGCCUCCCGGCGCUGCGGUCCUCGGGCUGAAAUGAGGCUGAGAGAGCCGGCUGGGUGCUGGAGAGGGUACAGGGAUCUGCCCUUCUCAUUGCACAGAUGUGAAGCUGAGGCCACAAGAAGUGAAGGCAUUUGCCCCAGGUCAGUGGUGGAAUUGCGUGCAAAAAGCUCAGAAAUUCACUCCUCGUUCACUGGACCUGCCAAGCACCCCUGGAAAUAGUUGUGGUUACACCUCAAGGCUCCCGGGUGAACUUUGGGCUGGUCACCUAAGUUUUCUCUUUAUUCCCUUCUUGUAAAGUACAGAUAUUGGAUCAGACAAGCUACUUAUGCUUGGGUUGCUUUCUACUGUGCUGGUGACCCCAGCUGAUUGUAAAUGCAAUUUAGAUGACAUAAAAGCUGAUCUCU